rnacentral:lncRNA from 1 species
UCUAACUUGUCUUCUCCAGCGGAAGUGACCGUGGUGGCUUCAAUAAAUUUGGUGGUAAGUGAACAGAGUUUCCAAAAUUCCCAACUCCCAGCAAUGCUUUGUCUGAUUGUUCAUUUGCAGAUGUCUUAGCGUGUUAAGUGUCAAAGGUUUCUAAAGUGUGUGUAGCCACCUCCAGAAGGGGUAGGUUAGAAUGCCUCCUGCUGCCACAUGUGUGCUAACCUGGAGGCAGGCAGGGAUAAACUCUUGGCGGUCUGUUACUAAAUUGGUUUUACCCAAGUUGAUAGAAGUAUUAGUAGGCUUCUUGAUGGGUGUUGCCACGCCUAGCACUUAGUGACCACACCAUCAUUGAGCAACUGGGGAAUGUUCUGGAACAUGUGGUGCCAACUUGGCUUUAGGAUCCUUUUGAUCAGUGUGUCUAAGAUAAGUGUGCGAGUGUGUGUGUAUGUGUGUGUAUGUAUACACAACCUCCCAAAUGUUUUAAUUUAGGGAGAGGGACAUGAAAUAGUGCCCUGCCCUGAGGAUGGUAAAUUUGGUGUAUAUAUAUUAAAUAGUGAUGUCAAUGCAAUUUUACAUAUGUACUCAGACAAAUACAUAGGAACUAGAUCUGGGAAGGAAGGUGUGAACUACUUCAAGAAAGAUCUUUUGAGUGUUGCUCAUGGGAAAUAACCAGGUUUUAAACAGCACAAACUUGAAUUCAUGGAAAAAAAUGGCAAAUUUGAGAAGUCUCCUAGUAAGCUGGAACUUUUCUGGUUUGUUUAACAAAAUGGUUUCUUGAUUUGUCUAAAUACUUAAAGCCAAAGGCUUGGGGUUCGUGACUUAGGUGUCAUUGUAUACAGGUACAAUAUUUUUAUAUGGUGAAUUUAGAUAAACAUUGGUUAAAGAUGGUGUCUGGAAAAAAAAUAGAGGCUGUAUUAUGAAAACAUUUCUGGUCUGUUCCCUGGGACAUGCUUUUAAAAUAUAAUAGCUACUAUGUAUAUUUAUUAUUUUCAUCUUGCUUUGGGAAACAACAUGGUUAAGAAUGGUUUUCAAGAUGAAAUUAAAAAUUGUUCUACAAGGGUUGUCUUUGGUGUAAAAGUUUGGAGAAACUGGAUGGAUGCACAUCACAUUGCUGGUGUUGAGCUUAUGUUUCUCUUGUGAGAGAACAGGGCUGAGUUAUGUCUGAGUUGGUUGGUUAAUUUAAAUUCCCCUACCCGCAUCUGUGCUGAGGACAUUUCCCAGCCCUACCUGGGGGAAAACAGCAUUUUCUUGAAGUGUGGCAUUAUCUAUGGGGACGCAAAAGUGACAGAUCUUAAGAAAAGGGACCCUUCUGUGAGAUCCGUCUAGAAUUUUCUCCACUGGGAAGGCCUCAGGAUAGGGUUUGGAGAGAGGCUGGAAGCAAUUACCUAAUACAUUCCAAGAAUUUGAAUUUGAUGUUAAUUUGUUACCUUAUCUGUCCUUUCCUUUUAGCUAAUGGCUCCUUUUCCUUGUUUUUGUUUUCUUUUUUUUCAUGUAACUAUAAGGUCCUCGGGAUCAAGGAUCUCGUCAUGAUUCUGAACAGGAUAAUUCAGACAAUAAUACCAUCUUCGUGCAAGGCCUAGGCGAGAAUGUUACAAUUGAAUCUGUGGCGGAUUACUUCAAGCAG